rnacentral:sRNA from 1 species
AAAUUAUACGAAGGGACCCAACACAGAAAAUUCAAAUUAUUGAAUUAAACAUUUAUGUGCAAGUUUGGCAAAGUGUCUUAUUUUUUAAAAGUAUGUAAAAGUAAAAUUACAUGUUAAUACGUAGUAUUAAUGGCGAGACUCC